UCGUUUCAUAUUAUAAUAGGCUAUACUUCAAUAAUGUAUCUGUUGAUUACAUUUAUUUGUGCUUUUCAUACAAAACAACAUUAUUUUUUUUCUUCUUUCACUUCUUUUACUAUUGUAAUUUGUACCUACUUUGGGUUACAAAAAUAUUGUUAUUUGCACAAAUCACAUUUCAAAAAUCAUAAACCUUUAUUUAUAAACUUAUUCCGAGUGUUGCCAGAAAACAUGCAAGGAAAAACUUCUAUACAAGAAAUCAAAAUAAUAAACAAUACAUGGUGCCAUUUUUCUUCUAUUAGAGCUGUAAAUAUUUGA